rnacentral:misc_RNA from 1 species
GAAAAAUAUAUGUGAACGUGUAUAAAUAUGGUUUUGUUUACUUUAGGCAUUGAAAUUAAAUUCAGAGCGAUCAAAAAUGCACCAAGGAUCUUCUGAAAAUUAUCAGUGCUAGUUAUUUGGAAGGUGAUUUGUUUCUGCAUAUAGGGUAAUUUGGUUCUAUAGUGUGUGUGAAAAUUAGGGUAUAAACUGCAAUAUGGCUAUUUUGCUGGAUCUAAUGCGUAAGCAACUCAUGCACACAUUACUCCAAAGUUCAGUAUCAUGCAGCUCUAGAGGACAUUGAUAUAAGCAAUUUCCAUCAAAUUGGUACCAUAACUUUGUUUAUGCAUAUGAGGAAGAGUAUAUAUGCAUGUUUGUAAUAAUUGAUUGUACCAUCACUUGCUUACCUACCCAUAGAUGUGAAAAGAGACAUUGACAGUUGAAUAUUGGGAAGAAACUCCUAAUUUGCGGCAGUUAAACUGUCAGCCUAUGUAACACAGAAUUGGAAACGCGGGAAUGGACACAGAGAAACACAAUUUCUAAAAUUAUAGGAAACAGAAAUGUGUAUAUAUGAAAAAUAUGGUGGUAUAUUUGUAGAUUUUUAUUUUUUAUUUAAAAAUAUAGAUAUAUUUAUAAAUUUUAAUUUUUUAUAUAAAAAUUUAGAAAUAUACUUAUAAAUGAAUACGUGUUUUCACUUGGCCAAUAUAUAUAAUUAAAAAGUUAAUAGAAAGAGAAAUUUUUUAAAUUUUAAAUUUUCUUAUUUAAUUUAUUAAUUUAAAAAUUAAUUAUUAAUUUUC